UGGGGAAUUUUGGACAAUGGGCGCAAGCCUGAUCCAGCCAUGCCGCGUGCGGGAAGAAGGCCUUCGGGUUGUAAACCGCUUUUGUCAGGGAAGAAAUCUUCUGAGUUAAUACCUCGGGAGGAUGACAGUACCUGAAGAAUAAGCACCGGCUAACUACGUGCCAGCAGCCGCGGUAAUACGUAGGGUGCAAGCGUUAAUCGGAAUUACUGGGCGUAAAGCGUGCGCAGGCGGUUUUGUAAGACAGAGGUGAAAUCCCCGGGCUCAACCUGGGAACUGCCUUUGUGACUGCAAGGCUUGAGUGCGGCAGAGGGGGGAUGGAAUUCCGCGUGUAGCAGUGAAAUGCGUAGAUAUGCGGAGGAACACCGAUGGCGAAGGCAAUCCCCUGGGCCUGCACUGACGCUCAUGCACGAAAGCGUGGGGAGCAAACAGGAUUAGAUACCCUGGUAGUCCACGCCCUAAACGAUGUCAACUGGUUGUUGGGAAGGUUCCCCUCUCAGUAACGUAGCUAACGCGUGAAGUUGACCGCCUGGGGAGUACGGCCGCAA
rnacentral:rRNA from 1 species